rnacentral:rRNA from 1 species
AGAGUUUGAUCCUGGCUCAGGACGAACGCUGGCGGCGUGCUUAACACAUGCAAGUCGAACGGAAAGGCCCUUUCGGGGGUACUCGAGUGGCGAACGGGUGAGUAACACGUGGGUGAUCUGCCCUGCACUUUGGGAUAAGCCUGGGAAACUGGGUCUAAUACCGGAUAGGACUACGCGAUGCAUGUCGUGUGGUGGAAAGCUUUUGCGGUGUGGGAUGGGCCCGCGGCCUAUCAGCUUGUUGGUGGGGUGAUGGCCUACCAAGGCGACGACGGGUAGCCGGCCUGAGAGGGUGACCGGCCACACUGGGACUGAGAUACGGCCCAGACUCCUACGGGAGGCAGCAGUGGGGAAUAUUGCACAAUGGGCGCAAGCCUGAUGCAGCGACGCCGCGUGAGGGAUGACGGCCUUCGGGUUGUAAACCUCUUUCAGCUCCGACGAAGCGCAAGUGACGGUAGGGGUAGAAGAAGGACCGGCCAACUACGUGCCAGCAGCCGCGGUAAUACGUAGGGUCCGAGCGUUGUCCGGAAUUACUGGGCGUAAAGAGCUCGUAGGUGGUUUGUCGCGUUGUUCGUGAAAACUCACAGCUCAACUGUGGGCGUGCGGGCGAUACGGGCAGACUUGAGUACUGCAGGGGAGACUGGAAUUCCUGGUGUAGCGGUGGAAUGCGCAGAUAUCAGGAGGAACACCGGUGGCGAAGGCGGGUCUCUGGGCAGUAACUGACGCUGAGGAGCGAAAGCGUGGGGAGCGAACAGGAUUAGAUACCCUGGUAGUCC